UUGUCUCCGGCCACCGGCGCAGUAACACAAGUUCGCGCGCGUGGCCUUGGUGGUUUGCCUCACUCCUGGAGCCACGCACACGCUUCCUGCUGCUCUCGUCGCUCGCCGAUGGCCGCACCAGCGUCGCACUACACCUUUGCGAAUCUCAAGAAGCUGGGGCUCUGUGCCCCGCAGGUGGCCCUUUCCCGCCAGCCCCGGCUCCGCCCGCAUGUCGGCCACUUGAAUGGCCUGGUAUACCCGCUGCCGUACUACGCCAUGUGGCGCGGCAACCAUGACAAGUACACAUACAACCAGGCAACACCGGCGCGCUGGGGUGAGGGGAAUACGAACACCAUGUACCACCAGCACUACGCCCACGCCAAGUGCCCCACCGACUACGGCCGCGGUGGCCGCGAGUUUCAGUUUCUCUCCGUCCAGCGAGGCAAGCUGAAGCGCAAGCCGUUGCCGACGGUGCAGUACGUCGGCCCGAACUCGAAGCCGCAGUGGGUCUUCAAGUCGUGGCACAACCCGCUCUCGGCGCCGAGCAUGUGGGAGAGGGAGGUCCAGUACCCGGAGCACACGCCGGAACACACGGGUGCUAAGCGGCCGCUUGCCGUGGUAGCGCCCAAGACGAGUCACAAGCAUCUCUUCCUUAUGCACAUGGAGAAGGUGACCGUGACGGUGUCGCCGCUGCUCUUCGGCUACGGGCACACCCUGCAGAAGGCGGCCCUCGACUUUUACCGCCGCGGCCUCAGCGCCCGCUCGCCGUUCCCGAACGACAAGAUGUUCCUCUACUACUCCAUCGACCACAUAACCCCGAAGAUUGAGGUGACGUGGCUGGACGGCAGCGUCUACGUACCACCGCUGAUCGAGGGCGUCAAGGCGCAGGACUUGAUUCAGAUGGUGAUGGAGCAGGCGUGGCUGGCAGCGGACCGUAUGAGCGCUGAGGGCCGCGUGCUGAACCCGAUCGCGAUCGACGACUAUAAAUGGGAGCAGCUGAUCGCCUUUAAGCAGAAGCGGGCGAAGGGUGCGGAGGCGGCAAAGGGCAGCGCGAAGAAGAAGUGACCUGCGCACGUGUAUGAUGCGCCCGCGUUGCCACAGCAGCCGCUGCCAUCGGGGAAAAGAAAAGAAGACGUGCGGAUGGCGCUGUUUUGGGCGCGUGUGCGUACUCGCUGGCUGUCUCUCUCGCAUACAGCAUGGGUGUAUUGUGUGCGUGUGUGGAGGGCUGCAAGGGAUGGUGUAGGCGUUGAUGGUGCUUGGUGCAUUGGCGAUGACGUGGCUUCAUGGAUGGAGUGAUGAUAGCAAGGGCUUGGGGGGUAGGCGGCAGUAGAGGAAGGUGAGCGGCGGUGGUGGGGGAGGGGAGGCGUGACGGCGUGCUUGAGCAGUGCUCUCACGAAGUCUUCUUUGCCCCCCCCCUGCUUGCCCCUCCACCUCGUCCAUCUCCGUCUCUCCAUCAGACGUGCACACACAGACUUGGGGCCCGAACCCAACCCUCCUGGCCAACUCCUUUAUCAAGGUCUAUCGCUCUUACAGAGGUACUGUGGCGCUGGGAGAACAGUUGCAGCAAGCUCGCGUCUCUCUCCCUCUUCUCGUCCUUUGCGACCACACCAGUGCGUACGACUCGGUGUGGUGUGUGUCUUGUGCGUUUGUGUCAUUCUGAGCGGGCGAUGGCGCGGCCCCAGGUGCGUUCACGCGUAUACAAGCAUCCCCACAUGCUCGACUUUACGUACUCUCUCACCGACUCACCCCUCUGUCUCUCUCUCUCUUGGACGACCCCGCAG
rnacentral:misc_RNA from 1 species